GCAUCGGUUCUUACGGGGGGAUACAAGCCUUGGGAACGUAGCUCCUCCGAGAGUGUUAUAGCCUCUGGUUGUAUACAUUGGUUGGGACUGAGGAACUCAGCACGCCGCAAGGCCGGGUUUUUAACCACGUUCGUGCUUAGGAUGCUGGCAUAAUGGCUUUAAUCGA
rnacentral:rRNA from 1 species